GUCCACACCGUAAACGUUGGGCGCUAGGUGUGGGGCCUAUUCCAUGGGUUCCGUGCCGCAGCUAACGCAUUAAGCGCCCCGCCUGGGGAGUACGGCCGCAAGGCUAAAACUCAAAGGAAUUGACGGGGGCCCGCACAAGCGGCGGAGCAUGCGGAUUAAUUCGAUGCAACGCGAAGAACCUUACCUGGGUUUGACAUACACCCUGCCGCCUCAGAGAUGGGGCUUCUUUUGGGGGUGUACAGGUGGUGCAUGGCUGUCGU
rnacentral:rRNA from 1 species